AUUGAACGCUGGCGGCAGGCCUAACACAUGCAAGUCGAACGAGUGGCGGACGGGUGAGUAAUGUCUGGGAAACUGCCUGAUGGAGGGGGAUAUCUACUGGAAACGGUACCUAAUACCGCAUACCAUCGGAUGUGCCCAGAUGUGAUGAACUAGUAGGUGGGGUAAAGGCGCACCUAGGCGACGAUCCCUGGCUGGUGUGAGAGGAUGACACGCCGCACUGGAACUGUGACACGGUCCAGACUCCUACGAGAGGCAGCAGUGGGGAAUAUUGCACCAUGGGCGCAAGCCUGAUGCAGCCAUGCCGCGUGUGUGAAGGAGGCCGUCGGGUUGUAAAGUGCUUUCAGCGGGGAGGCGUUACCCGCGGAAGAAGCACCGGCUAACUCCGUGCCAGCAGCCGCGGUAAUUC
rnacentral:rRNA from 1 species